UAGAAACAAAUGAAUACUAUGAAGGGGCCCUUUAUUUGUUGUUGGAUUGUAGUUUUAAUUUUAAUUAUUGCACAUCGUCCGAGUUGUCCCAAAGAGUGUCAAUAUUUGUGGUCAAGUUGCUGCGCAAUGCGUUAAGGCUUGGUGCUUGUUCCCGGUUACUAAUGAUUUCGUUACUUGGUCCUAUCAUCAUUCUCCGUGGCUAUAUUAUGUUUAAAACGCUUGCAUUCUUUAUUAAAUUCGAAUAUUUAAAUGUUUGCGAAUCGUAUUAAAGCAAAUCAAAUCUCUAA